ACAAUAUCAGGACCGUCGGUCUACCGAGCAAUAUCACUAGCUCAGUGGAAAAUCUUCCUUUCGUCUU
rnacentral:pre_miRNA from 1 species